UCCUGUGUGUCCUUACAGAUGUGAAUGGCGGAGAAUGGGAUCCAGCUUCCCAGCUGGCUUCCAGCUCAGAAGCUCUGGCGGAUCGCAUGGACGAGCCUGCGCUGAGGGCAUUGCCAGAUCCUCGACUGGCGUCCCGCUGGCAUCCCGGAGGUCCUGCGAGAUGGAACGAGGAAUUGAAGACAGGAAAAUAUUUCCCUGUCCUCGAGGGAAGGAAGAAGGAUUUGGAGAAGGCAGUCCCUGGUGCG